rnacentral:lncRNA from 1 species
UUCGUAAUCACAACGAUACCAAGUAUGGCAGUACAUCCGAACUCUCUCCACCAAUACUAGGGAUGCCAGACUCCUCUUACCACUAAUAGUAUUGAAUCAACUUCAAACAUCCUCCAUCGUGAGAUAUUAAGAAAUCUGAAUGAUAACGAUGUGCUCAAGAAUCCCCUGGAGCUCAACUCCCCAGAAGAAAUCAAGACAGACACGAGGCAC